rnacentral:lncRNA from 1 species
AUGCGGGAAGGGACGGCGAGGACGGAGCUGCCGCCUCGCCGCAGAGCGAGCGCUGCCAGGCACGUCCCACGGCAGGCACCGCCACGCCAAGGUGCUGGGCUGGGCUGGACAGGGCAGGGCAGGGCCUCCCUCCCCUGCCCGUCGCAGCCGGUGCCCCCGGCCCCCAGCCCCUUUUUCGGCAAUCCUGAGAGUCCCUCUCCAAGCACCGGGGCCAGCCGGACCUCCCCCCCGUCCCAGCCCCUGCGGCACCACCCGGCCAGGCGCUCGGCAGAUCCCACCGCGGUUCUCGCCCGGACCACGUGGCGCCCGCAGCCGCUGGCGGGUGGAGGAGGAAGAAACCGCUUGCCCAGGUCCGUGACCUCCAGGCUCAGCUCCCGGUGCUGGUGGCCAGCUGGGGAAGGGUUAAGCCGGCAGGGAGGGGAGUGGAGGGGAGGCAAGGAGACCGCAGGAAAAUUCCUUCCAAGCACAGUCACCGCACAGUCACCGUUUCCCUGCCAGGGGGAAGUGGAGGCAGAGCCCACGGGAGCGCAGCUGGGCUGGCCGGGGGUGGGGAGGGGAAAUGAGAACAGGAACAGGCUCCCGCAGCCAGGCCCGGGACCUCGGUGGCCAGAUGGAGCCGCGACAGGACGCAAACCUGCUGGAGCGGGGGCUCAGGGACGGGGCAGAGCAGCACCUCUGCUCGGGAGACGUCACUGCCCGCCUCGCGCCCCCACGCCACGCUCCGACGGUCACCUCCUUCCAGCCGAGCCCUCGCACCCCGUCCCCCGGACCGGGGCCGCCUCCCCGGAACAAGCCCGGACACAGAGCACAGGGCGAGCUUCCCACGGAUGCCAGCCCUGGCCCCAGCCGAGCCGGGUGCUGCAGCCUCCCGCGUGCCGGCGACGUCCCGCUCCCUGCGAGACGCAGCAGCGUCUCCCACCAGGCAGAGCUUCCCAGCGGCUGGUGCUGGGCAACAGUGGAAGGGGCAGGAUGGAGACGAGCAUCGCUGUUCCUGCAGCAGCCAGAGCAGGCUCCGCGGCUGCGUCACCUCACAGCCGAUCAGGGACGCUCUGCGGCAGAGAGCGAGGCAGGAGAGCUGGCAGGGAGGGCAGCGGGGCACCAGCAGGUCAGAGUGGUGCCAGAGCCCUGCCAGGCCCCCUCCGAAGGCAGAUGGCCGCUGCUGUCGCAGCCUCCGAGCGGGGCUCUGCUGCUCCGCCGCCUGCCCCAGAGAGCAGGGCAGGAUCUCAGCAAGGCGACCUGUGGGUGCCGCGAGCUCAGGGCAUCGAGCAGGGGCGCACGGAGCCAACCCCAUCGCUAACAACCUCCUGGGAGGACCAAGGGGCCAGUGCCCUCACCACGUCCCUCGCCCCCCAGCUCACCAGUGCACAGGAGCAGUGA